UCUCCGUUGGUGAACCAGCGGAGGGAUCAUUACAGAGUUUUCACAACUUCCACUCCUUGCGAUCCGCACCUAUUCUGUUCUCGUUGCUUUCGGCGGCUGUGACCGGUUGGCCCGAAACGUCCUUCCCCAUCCGCUCGCCGGGGGUAGCGGCCUCUACGCACCUUUCUCUAAUAAUCACCUGAAAUCUUUAAACGAAUAAAAGAAUUUAAUUAAAACUUUUAACAACGGAUCUCUUGGCUCUG
rnacentral:misc_RNA from 1 species